rnacentral:rRNA from 1 species
GACAGAGGGGGCAAGCGUUGCUCGGAAUCACUGGGCGUAAAGGGCGCGUAGGCGGGAUGGCAAGUCAGUCGUGAAAUCUCUCGGCUCAACCGAGAAACGUCGGCUGAUACUGCCGUUCUUGAGGGAUGCAGGGGAGACUGGAAUUCCCGGUGUAGCGGUGAAAUGUGUAGAGAUCGGGAGGAACACCGGUGGCGAAGGCGGGUCUCUGGGCAUUUCCUGACGCUGAGGCGCGAAAGCGUGGGGAGCAAACGGG